CCUACGGGUGGCUGCAGUCGAGGAUCUUCGUCAAUGGGCGCAAGCCUGAACGAGCGACGCCGCGUGAGCGAUUGAAGGCCUUCGGGUUGUAAAGCUCAAAAGAGGAGAGCAAGGGGAAACCUUGAGCGAUCCUCAGUAAGCUCGGGCUAAGUUCGUGCCAGCAGCCGCGGUAAGACGAACCGAGCGAACGUUGUUCGGAAUCACUGGGCUUAAAGGGCGCGUAGGCGGGCUCCCAAGUCUGUGGUGAAAUCCUCCAGCUCAACUGGAGAACGGCCGUGGAUACUGGGAGUCUCGAGGGAGGUAGGGGCGUGCGGAACAGAUGGUGGAGCGGUGAAAUGCGUUGAUAUCAUCUGGAACUCCGGUGGCGAAGGCGGCACGCUGGACCUCUUCUGACGCUGAGGCGCGAAAGCCAGGGGAGCAAACGGGAUUAGAUACCCUAG
rnacentral:rRNA from 1 species